GUGCCAGCAGCCGCGGUAAUACGUAGGUGGCAAGCGUUGUCCGGAAUUAUUGGGCGUAAAGCGCGCGCAGGCGGUCCCUUAAGUCUGAUGUGAAAGCCCACGGCUCAACCGUGGAGGGUCAUUGGAAACUGGGGGACUUGAGUGCAGAAGAGGAAAGUGGAAUUCCAUGUGUAGCGGUGAAAUGCGUAGAGAUGUGGAGGAACACCAGUGGCGAAGGCGACUUUCUGGUCUGUAACUGACGCUGAGGCGCGAAAGCGUGGGGAGCAAACAGGAUUAGAUACCCUGGUAGUCCACGCCGUAAACGAUGAGUGCUAAGUGUUAGGGGGUUUCCGCCCCUUAGUGCUGCAGCUAACGCAUUAAGCACUCCGCCUGGGGAGUACGGCCGCAAGGCUGAAACUCAAAGGAAUUGACGG
rnacentral:rRNA from 1 species